rnacentral:rRNA from 1 species
UGCGUAGGCGGAAUAUUAAGUCAGUGGUGAAAUCCCAGAGCUCAACUCUGGAACUGCCAUUGAAACUGGUAUUCCUGAAUAUAGUUGAGGUAGGCGGAAUGUGUAAUGUAGCGGUGAAAUGCUUAGAUAUUACACAGAACACCGAUUGCGAAGGCAGCUUACUAAACUAUGAUUGACGCUGAUGCACGAAAGCGUGGGGAGCGAACAGGAUUAGAUACCCUGGUAGUCC